GAAGAGUUAUCUCAUACCACAUUCUAUUUGUGAAGUGCAACCUUGCUGGUCCUAACUUGCUUGUGUGGAGUUUGCUUUCUAUGUUUCAAUAGGUUAUGGCCCCACACUCUCUUACCAAGUAAGUUGUUCUUGCAUUAUUUUCUUUGUUGCUUACUUUGGUGGUUGGGAUCUUAUGGUAGAGUGUUGCUUGUGUGUUGUUGAAGUCAUUGCUCCUGGAUUUGUGAGUAUAUGAGUUUUGUGCAAGACCUUGAUAGUGUCUUUGCUGAAGUAACACUAGUGUUUGAAAGUUUUAUGAGAUAGUGAGUCAUUUUGAGUGGAGUGACGUGAGGGAGACUUAUGAGAGCCAUAGAAUUACUUUACAAUUCA
rnacentral:lncRNA from 1 species